ACAGUCGGAGCGCCGACACGUACGUAUGUGCGCGACGAUGUUGAUAAUGUAACGUCGCCACAAAUCGACACCCGGCUCUUCAAUUACGAUAUGUCAGCUUCAUGUUUUAGCUCGUUAUGUUUUGUCACGGUAUAAUCGCGCACAACUCGCUCACAGCCCGAUCGUUUCGGAGUUUCACAGGCUUAUCGCAACGCGAAAACCUCCAACAACAACAGCCGAACCAAAUUGCACUUCCGGUUGCCGUGCGAUUGUUCCUCUGACGAUUAAAAUUAAACUACACGAACUACGUGCGCAGUAAAUGAAACACGCGGUCGAGAGUUCUUUGCGGAUCGUAUUUGCCAGUGCGGUUUUUCUGCGAAUUUGUAGGCGUUGUGUGUUACUCAAUCCUCCUUGAAACGCCCGGACGUGUCACUCAUGAUCUCGUGCCUGACUCGUUGCAAUUCGCUCUUCGUGUGUAUUGUGUGAAGUAUUUUAAAUGCUUCCUUUUUUUGCACACAACACACGUUACGUGAGGCAAACGAGAUCAAAACCGUCCACACUUCGAUAUUGACAAUAGGGUCAGGUAAAAAUUGAGUUUCUCCGAGCAUGUGCGUGUUUAUAAGAGCAUAAGCGUCGGGGAAAAAAAUAUCUCGCCUAUAAGGGACAAGUUUUCCUUGACAUCGAUUCCCUACCUCGCUACAUAAAAAGUAAGAAAUAAGAUCAGUUCGAAAUUUUUUCAAAAAUCUCAUUUUUAAACACUUGAUCGCGCGAUAUCUAGUUGCUCCUAAUUUUGUAACAAUGAAUUAAAACCCAAUGAAAAUGUUAAAAAUAUUUUAAAACUGUUGAACAAAUUUCUCAAAAUUAAAUUUUCGACAGUCUCGAGACAUACAGUUGGCUUACAGGCGUGUGUGUAUUUUGUUUAUCACAUAUUUAAUGGGUCUUUAAUUACAUCGUGCAAAACUUCCGCAAUUUUUCAAUCGCAAAACAUAUCGAUCGUGCGGUACCAGCAACUCUCGUUUAAACACAGCAAUUACGCUGCGAUGUAAGUCGCAUUUUGCAUGUUAAUUACUGCGAUGAGAAAACUGUGAAAACGGAAUCGAAAUUAAACGUAUCUCGCGAGAGGAGAUAGAAUUAUCUACUUAUUCACUAUUUCAACGAUCGACACGAUUAAAUCGCUUAUCAACCGAUAAACUCGCAUCCAAUCGCUGCAUCGGUUGUUAUCGCGUUUUUUCUCUCAACUUUUGUGAAACAAAAAAACGAAAAUUCGAUCAAAAGUCUACAAAAUUCAUCCAAAAUUUUCACGUACCUAAUAACACGCACCUAUUCGAUGAACAUUAAAUACGACUUAACGCGGACGAUGAAGAUAAUAACGCUGAACGUAAAAUGGAGAACGAUAACAGUCCCGAGGUAACGGGCUCGCUCUUCUCGAUCGUUUCGGAGUAUACGUACUUUUCCGCGAACAUCUAAGUGCAGCUCCUCUCUUUUCCGCUCAGUUUGCCCCGCUACGGUUUAGUCACACCGGCUGACUCAAGGCUCACCCUUCAUCUUCUCUCCCUCACUUCUUUCCAACGGCAGUACUUAGACUUUAGUCGCGUAUUGAAUUUUUGUCCAACGUUCACAACGAGAACUCGUUCUUUUGUCAUGUCGGAUGACAAAGAGAAUUGUUGCGUAAAAGAUUAAAAACGCGUCCCUUUUCUUGAGUAGUUCCUUCUAUAUCCCCUUAUAGUCGAUAUAUAUAUAUAUAUAUAUGUACGUAGACGAGCUGGCGCCAGAAACGGCGUCAUCGUUUCCAUAAAAAUGGAAAACUCUUCCUCGAGCAGAACGCGUUUCUUUCUAUUUUUCCUUCGCGCGUUGUAACAUAUCGGUAGAAAUGUAUUAGUCACGCGCAAAAUGUCGCAAACGAAUUUUAUAUGUUAACCGAUAACAAAUGUAUUUCUAUCGAAUCGAUUGAUUGACACACACUCGAGAGUUUCGCGAUAAUCUCUAUACACGCGCUUACGUCGUCAAUGUUUCACGCGCAUUUUAAUUAUUUACGUGUCGCGCACGUGCUACCUAUCGGAAAAUCGAUUCGGAAAAGGAUUACAGAUGGACGAUCAAUUUUGAUGAAAAUAAACCACGCGCGCAUUCCUGAGCGAAUGGCUAAAAUUAGCGGCAAUCUUGUUGCUUGCGCGCAACUAUGCAACGCGUCAAGCAGUCAAAUCAAGGAGGAAAACUUCACUUCCUCUAUUUUGUACGAGAUGGUCGUGUUGAAAAAGAAAAUAUCCAGGAGAAUAUUGUAUGUUCAAAUGUUCUUUUUUUUUGUUUUAGAUGAGAAGAGAAACACACCCCGAUAGAUUUAUUUCGUUGUAACUUAUCUCGAAAAUUAGUUACGUAACACUUGACUGUGUGUGUGUGUGUGUAUGUGUGAGCGUGUUGCUGAAGUCUCGUCACAGUUGUCUGUAAGAAAUACCCGACGAACCCGUCGUCGGGUGACAAAGUUGGCAAAGGUUCGGUGAGAAAUACUUAGUAGUCUUACAAAAGGUCGUAAAAGGUUCCCGACAACGGGAACAAAGAAAUGACAAUUUGUAUAGACCAAGAAUUCCGAGCGAGACGAGUGCGUCGUAGAUUCUUCCAAGAGAAAUUUGCUUCAAUUUUACAGAAGUUCCUUAAGAGUUCUUCUGUAGAUUCUUCGAUAACUGCUACAACGCGAUGUAAUUUUUUCUACUUUGUAAUUGUAAUUUUAUUUAAAAAAAUAUAAAACUAUAAAAAAAAUACUCUAACAAAUAAUAUUAAUGUUUUAAAAUUAAGUAUUAGCUACUGAUUUUCUAUAUCUUUGUUAUCAGAUAAGGAGAUAGCCGGGAGUUUUCACUUGUCGGUAAUCGAUAUUUUUAGUAUCGAUGAAAAGAUAGAUCGCAGAUUAUAUCGCUUCUUCAUCAUAUUUUGAGAAUAUUUUGAAGCACACAGUUCGCAGAACAAAAUUGUUCGAAUAACGAUUAUUAAAUAAUGGCUGCGUCAACGUGAUAUCUUUUUUUUAUCUUUAUUUUCAUUGAGUCAUGCGGUUUUCCGGAUAAUGCGGACAUUGCGCGUACAUGUUUUUCUCGCACGAUAUGCAACGUUGCGUUGGCUGUGCUGCCACGCGAUACUCGAAUGCAAUUUUCGUUCUCUAUGUGAUCGGUAGAGACCUUCCCAAUUAUGUUCGUCUGGGAAUUUCCCUGCCGCCUCGCAAUUACCUCACCGUGGUUUGAGAUGUGUCACAUCUGCGUUUGCAAUUGUCUUGCAUAUCUUUUCAAAUUCUUCGCAACACGUCCGUUAACACGUGACAUUUUCGCACUUCAUAUUCUAAAAAAAAGAAAAACAUUAAAUUUUAUCAAGCGUAUGUGUAAAAACAAACGAAGUUGCGCAACACGUUGAUGCGCGAUUACGAAAUGUUAUCGCUAAUUGGGCGCCAUUUUAGAUCAUUAUUUCAAGACUGAACUAUUAUCAGCGCGUUGAUAAAUUGUUUGUUAUUCGCACCAGUACCCAAAUGCGUUGUCGCGCAGGGGAUUUUGAUGAAGUUACACUUGAAUGUGUGUUUUUUCUAUCAAUCAUCUUUCGAUUAAAAUUCCAUCGGUAGACGGAUCGUCGCGCGAACGCGUUUUAGCGUUAAAAAAAAAAAAUAGAUGAUUAAUACCUCAGUAAAGAAAAUUUUUCCGGUCGGUAAAUAUCGUUCCGUUACGUAUCAGUCGCUUUAAGAUUACGGACAACGAGAGAAUGUUUCCGCGGAAAAUAAUAGACGAAGGUUUUACGAGUUCUCCUCGUUCGAGGACGCCGCGAUGAUGUCAUUUCCGCGCGCACAGACACGCACUUGUCGUAUGUACACAAAUUUCGCACACACACACACUUGAUACAUGACACAACGUCGCCUCGUAAACGAACCACGCUGCAUCAAUAUCUCCCCCAACUGGCAUAAUGCUGUGAAAUAAAAUCAGACAAGUUUUUUUUUUUUUUAGUAACCAUACAACACUACGAGAUGAUUCAGCGCGAUCGAUCUCAAAUGCGUACAUCUCUAAACAUGUUGGUUACAUUUUCCAGCUUUUUUUUACACGCGUCUUCUGUAAAAACCGCGCGUCGAUCGCUAUCUGCGAAUCGAGGACAUGAAUUACUAUGAUUAAAUCGAUCGAAACGUUUGAUUUUAAAGACCGUCUUACGUUUCACUUACGUAUCGAGGUAAAUUAUAAUAGCAGGCCGCUCUUCGAGAUCAAUCAUCGACCAUGUGGCGCAAGCGAUGCGUAUAAAUACGCGUACGUGCGCGCGCGCGAGUUUGCUUGCUAUUAUGCUUCAAGGACGAUUUCCAGAUAUCUGAAAACGAUCUGGUGUUGGUUAACUCUCCGGCCGGCACGGUAUUUCUAUUUUUUGAAAAUUAUUAAGCAACAAUGUUAAACGCAUGUUUGGCAACAACACGGUUUAUAAUAAUAAAGUUUUCGAGAUUUUACAUCUCUCCGAAGAUUUACACACACAAGUCAGACUUUGAAUAAACGUUUAAGAAUUUAUACGUAAUGGAACAGUUGGUGGAACACGAAUUGACGUUCCCAGAACUUGUCGUACUUUUUUCUAGAAAUUCAACAAAAAAAAAAAAAAAAAAAAAAAAAAAAAAAAAAAAAAAAAAAAAAA